GUGCUCACUUCAGCAGCACAGAUACUAAAACUGGAAUGACACAGGGAAUACUAGCAUGGCCCCUGCUCAAGGAUGACAUUCCAUUUUUUUUUUUUUUU
ensembl:snRNA U6 U6 spliceosomal RNA